UAAUAAUGAGGAGAUAGUGAAUGUGGCUCUACUGAUAAUGGCUCCGUACCUCACAGGAAACCACACUAAAAGAUGUGCAAUUAGAUAUAAAAGCAGUUAAGAGUUCCUCUGCAGAGAUGGGAAAAUGACCCAACAGACACGUCUUUCUAUUCACCAGACGUUUCUGCCAAAUUGGAAUUGAUCUUGAUGUUUCUCCUUGGGUGGAAUGACAUUUGCCGUUCGACUCUUCAGACAGCUGAAGCGUGACAUUACACUCUCGCAUACUGCCUUUGUUCGUGUUGUUUUUGUAGGGGUAAAAUAGUUGCAUGGAUGCAUUGAGGGAAAAGUAUCAUGCGCUGGUGAUUGUAUGAAGGCGUGUGUGCAUAUGCGUCCAAGUAGGUGUAGACAGGAUGAUCCAUAGAGCCAUGAUCCAUUUUAAAACCCAUUCCCUCAUAUCCUUACAUGUUCUACCUGAAAAUUCCUGCAAUUGUCAUUUAUCUGUCUUGUGCUCAAAAUGUCUGCGUUCUUCCCUGUGACUAAUUUUGAAAUCCUCACUAACAUUAGC